rnacentral:lncRNA from 1 species
CUCGGAGCUUUGCUGAAACUGCACAAAAAAUCGAGCUGGGGGGUUCCCUGGUCCCCGAUGUUGGGGCGGAGAGCGCGGCGCCGAGGGAGGGGGCGGCGCAGACCGGCCUAGGGGACACCUGGUCGAGCGCAGCCGCCGCUCCGCUCGAGCCCUGCGCUCCAGUGCCCCCACUGGCUGGAGAGCUCGCCCAGACCGGGGGUCUUCCUCCGUCGCUGACAGAUUUUAACCAUUAGAAGAAUACCAGUUCUGGAAAACAACCAAAGUUUCUUUGAUUGAAUGCCCAUGUAAUGCAUUGGAAUAUGAUAGGCGAUUAAGGUUUAACAAUGUUAAAAUGAAGAUAUUACUAAAAUGGCCCUCUAAAUAGCCCAACAAUUAUUAUUUUCUUUGUCCUAUGGAUUUGGCUUUGAAAGAUGUGCUGCUCUUAAUAAGGUAAAAACCAACUUUUGUAGCUAUUUCAUGUGUUAAGCACAUUCAAAAGUUGUUAGUUUAAUAAAUGAGGUUCUUAAGUUGGUAUGGGAAAAUGACUUGCUUUUCUCGUUUCAUGACUACAAUAAAUUACAGCACUGUAUUAAGUUUUCUGUACGCUUUUAUUAAACUUAUGAUAUGGAAAUA